UCGAACGGUGAAGCCCAGCUUGCUGGGUGGAUCAGUGGCGAACGGGUGAGUAACACGUGAGCAAUCUGCCCCUGACUCUGGGAUAAGCGCUGGAAACGGCGUCUAAUACUGGAUACGAACCGUGGAGGCAUCUUCAACGGUUGGAAAGAUUUUUUGGUCAGGGAUGAGCUCGCGGCCUAUCAGCUUGUUGGUGAGGUAAUGGCUCACCAAGGCAUCGACGGGUAGCCGGCCUGAGAGGGUGACCGGCCACACUGGGACUGAGACACGGCCCAGACUCCUACGGGAGGCAGCAGUGGGGAAUAUUGCACAAUGGGCGCAAGCCUGAUGCAGCAACGCCGCGUGAGGGAUGACGGCCUUCGGGUUGUAAACCUCUUUUAGCAGGGAAGAAGCGAAAGUGACGGUACCUGCAGAAAAAGCGCCGGCUAACUACGUGCCAGCAGCCGCGGUAAUACGUAGGGCGCAAGCGUUAUCCGGAAUUAUUGGGCGUAAAGAGCUCGUAGGCGGUUUGUCGCGUCUGCUGUGAAAUCCCGAGGCUCAACUUCGGGUCUGCAGUGGGUACGGGCAGACUAGAGUGCGGUAGGGGAGAUUGGAAUUCCUGGUGUAGCGGUGGAAUGCGCAGAUAUCAGGAGGAACACCGAUGGCGAAGGCAGAUCUCUGGGCCGUAACUGACGCUGAGGAGCGAAAGGGUGGGGAGCAAACAGGCUUAGAUACCCUGGUAGUCCACCCCGUAAACGUUGGGAACUAGUUGU
rnacentral:rRNA from 1 species